rnacentral:tRNA from 1 species
GCUUAAGUAGCUCAGUGGUAGAGCAUUUGCCUGACACACAAGUAGCCUUGGGUUCAAUUCCAAACCACUGCA